GCAAAGGCUCUUCUCAUAGCCACCCACAUUUUUUUUUUAAUUUUU
rfam:Loxodonta africana unplaced genomic scaffold scaffold_130, whole genome shotgun sequence.